rnacentral:rRNA from 1 species
GAUGAACGCUCGCUACAGGCUUAACACAUGCAAGUCGAGGGGCAGCAUGGUCUUAGCUUGCUAAGGCCGAUGGCGACCGGCGCACGGGUGAGUAACACGUAUCCAACCUGCCGUCUACUCUUGGACAGCCUUCUGAAAGGAAGAUUAAUACAAGAUGGCAUCAUGAGUCCGCAUGUUCACAUGAUUAAAGGUAUUCCGGUAGACGAUGGGGAUGCGUUCCAUUAGAUAGUAGGCGGGGUAACGGCCCACCUAGUCUUCGAUGGAUAGGGGUUCUGAGAGGAAGGUCCCCCACAUUGGAACUGAGACACGGUCCAAACACCUACGGGAGGCAGCAGUGAGGAAUAUUGGUCAAUGGGCGAGAGCCUGAACCAGCCAAGUAGCGUGAAGGAUGACUGCCCUAUGGGUUGUAAACUUCUUUUAUAAAGGAAUAAAGUCGGGUAUGGAUACCCGUUUGCAUGUACUUUAUGAAUAAGGAUCGGCUAACUCCGUG